rnacentral:rRNA from 1 species
CAGGACGAACGCUGGCGGCGUGCCUAACACAUGCAAGUCGAGCGAGGAGAUCCUCGGGAUGAUCCUAGCGGCGGACGGGUGAGUAACACGUGGGCAACCUGCCUCAUAGAGAGGAAUAGCCUUCCGAAAGGGAGAUUAAUACCUCAUAACAUUGCAGUUUCGCAUGGAACAGCAAUUAAAGGAGCAAUCCGCUAUGAGAUGGGCCCGCGGCGCAUUAGCUAGUUGGUGAGGUAACGGCUCACCAAGGCGACGAUGCGUAGCCGACCUGAGAGGGUGAUCGGCCACAUUGGGACUGAGACACGGCCCAGACUCCUACGGGAGGCAGCAGUGGGGAAUAUUGCACAAUGGGGGAAACCCUGAUGCCAGCAACGCCGCGUGAGUGAUGACGGCCUUCGGGUUGUAAAGCUCUGUCUUCAGGGACGAUAAUGACGGUACCUGAGGAGGAAGCCACGGCUAACUACGUGCCAGCCGCCGC